rnacentral:rRNA from 1 species
UACGGAGGGUGCAAGCAUUAAUCGGAUUUAUUGGGCGUACAGGGCGCGUAGGCGGAAAUGUAAGUCAGAUGUGAAAUCCCGGGGCUCAACUCCGGAACUGCAUUUGAAACUACAUUCCUUGAGGGUAGGCGGAGAAAACGGAAUUCCACAAGUAGCGGUGAAAUGCGUAGAUAUGUGGAAGAACACCUGUGGCGAAAGCGGUUUUCUAGCUUACUCCUGACGCUAAGGCGCGAAAGCUAGGGGAGCAAACAGG